GUUAAAUAUGUUACCCUCUUAAACCUGUAGUGUCUUCAAACUGUAGUGAAUUUUACAAUCCAUAUCUUUAAAAGCUGUUUUCUCUCAGACUCUGAGUCAGAAAUUUCCACUUCAGCAGCACUAACAUCCACCAAACCUUCACUUCCAUUCCUAUCUACAGUAUAUUCUGAAGGUUUUUACUGAGGCGUUUGUUCAGAUGUCAUUCAUAGCCUGAUUUAUACAACAUUUUAUUCCUAAAAACAUGGAGAAAAUGGAUGUUUUAUGGCUGCAUUAUUACCUUCCCCAAGGCUGUUUGUCUGUCUGUCUGUUAGCAGGAUUACUCUAAAAAUCCAAUAUGGAUUUG